CACCCCCCGGGGGAGCUUUGCUCCACCGGAAAAAGAGGAGUGGCGAACGGGUGAGUAACACGUGGGUAACCUGCCCAUCAGAAGGGGAUAACACUUGGAAACAGGUGCUAAUACCGUAUAACAAUCAAAACCGCAUGGUUUUGAUUUGAAAGGCGCUUUCGGGUGUCGCUGAUGGAUGGACCCGCGGUGCAUUAGCUAGUUGGUGAGGUAACGGCUCACCAAGGCCACGAUGCAUAGCCGACCUGAGAGGGUGAUCGGCCACAUUGGGACUGAGACACGGCCCAAACUCCUACGGGAGGCAGCAGUAGGGAAUCUUCGGCAAUGGACGAAAGUCUGACCGAGCAACGCCGCGUGAGUGAAGAAGGUUUUCGGAUCGUAAAACUCUGUUGUUAGAGAAGAACAAGGAUGAGAGUAACUGUUCAUCCCUUGACGGUAUCUAACCAGAAAGCCACGGCUAACUACGUGCCAUCAGCCG
rnacentral:rRNA from 1 species